rnacentral:lncRNA from 1 species
UCUCUCUCGGCAUACCAAAAUGAACCAGCACACAGCAGCACUGUGCAGAAAGCAAGAGUCAAAAGGUGUCAUAGUGAGUCCUGCUGGAGCACUGGGGAACCCUCUAGAAUCACCAUGGCAACCAGCAGAACCUCCAACAGACCUAUCAAUCAGUUGGUUGCUGUGACGACGUGCUCUGGCUGGACACUUCUUCCACCUGCGCCUGAUUAAUCCCCACACCUGAGAGCUGGUUCUUUAAGUUCAGUCCUUACAUCUCUCUGACAUCUUAGAGUUUUUGGAUUUAUCUUUUUUCUUCUGGAUUCCUCUUGAGUUUUGUCUGAUUGGAUCUCCUGGCCACGGACUUUGCUUAUCUUUUGACGAUGCUUCUGUGACCCCUGCCUGCUCUUCGUCCAGCCCUGGGACACUGUUCUCACUCAGCUGUGAGUAGCACCAUUAUAGCAGGUUUCCAA